rnacentral:tRNA from 1 species
GUCCCCAUAGCUCAAUUGGAAGAGCGUCAGCUUGCGGAGCUGAAGGUUGGAGGUUCAAGCCCUCCUGGGGAUA